rnacentral:rRNA from 1 species
AUCUACGGCCAUGCCACCCUGAACACGCUCAAUCAUGUCUGAUCUCAGAAGCUAAGCAGGGGCGGGCCUGGUUAGUACUUGGAUGGGAGACCACCUAGGAAGACCAGGUGCUGUAGGCG